CCUACGGGUGGCAGCAGUGAGGAAUAUUGGUCAAUGGUCGGGAGACUGAACCAGCCAAGCCACGUGAGGGAGGAAGGUACAGAGUAUCGUAAACCUCUUUUGUCAGGGAACAAAGGCGGGGACGUGUCCCCGGAUGAGUGUACCUGAAGAAAAAGCAUCGGCUAACUCCGUGCCAGCAGCCGCGGUAAUACGGAGGAUGCGAGCGUUAUCCGGAUUUAUUGGGUUUAAAGGGUGCGCAGGCGGUCUGUUAAGUCAGCGGUCAAAGCCCGGGGCUCAACCCCGGCCCGCCGUUGAAACUGGCAGUCUUGAGUGGGAGAGAAGUAUGCGGAAUGCGCGGUGUAGCGGUGAAAUGCAUAGAUAUCGCGCAGAACUCCGAUUGCGAAGGCAGCAUGCCGGCUCCACACUGACGCUGAUGCACGAAAGCGUGGGUAUCGAACAGGAUUAGAUACCCCUGUAGUC
rnacentral:rRNA from 1 species